GGGCACAUGGUGUAGUUGGUUAUCACGCUCGCUUAGCAUUGUGAAUCAACCGGUGAUUUGCGAGAGGUGUUGGGUUCAAUUCCCAAUGCGUCCA